AGAACGAACGCUGGCGGCAGGCUUAACACAUGCAAGUCGAGCGCUGUAGCAAUACAGAGCGGCAGACGGGUGAGUAACGCGUGGGAACAUACCCUCCGGUUCGGAAUAACUCAGGGAAACUUGAGCUAAUACCGAAUACGGUCGAGAGGCGAAAGAUUUAUCGCCGGAGGAUUGGCCCGCGUUCGAUUAGCUAGUUGGUGAGGUAACGGCUCACCAAGGCGACGAUCGAUAGCUGGUCUGAGAGGAUGAUCAGCCACAUUGGGACUGAGACACGGCCCAAACUCCUACGGGAGGCAGCAGUGGGGAAUAUUGGACAAUGGGCGAAAGCCUGAUCCAGCCAUGCCGCGUGAGUGAUGGCGGCCUUAGGGUUGUAAAGCUCUUUCGCUAGGGACGAUAAUGACGGUACCUAGACAAGAAGCCCGGCUAACUUCGUGCCAGCAGCCGC
rnacentral:rRNA from 1 species